AUAGCUUACCUCCCCUCUCCCUGCCCCUCUGAUGGGGCCUCCCGGGGUUACUAUGUCUGUCCCAUCAGCAGGGUCCCAGACCAAGGUUCUCACAACAGAGCAGAGUGAGCUCCAUUUAGCUGGGCCGCAUGGCCUUCAGCUCUAAUUUUCAGUCAUUAUUUCUUUGAGCAUUUUUUCUGCCCUUUUCUCUCUCUCUCCUCUCCUAGUAAUUCUAUUAUGCAUAUAUUGCUAUGUUUAAUGGUGUUCCCCAUUUCUCUGAGACUCUAUACAUUUUCUUUAUUCCCUUUUUCCUCUGUGCACGUAGCUGGACAGGGGCACCCAGAGGUGGAGGGGAGGUGGGGCACUCCCCAGGUGGGGCAGAGGGACUCAGGGCCCACAGCCCAGGCUUCUGGGCAUCAUGGUGUUGUGCAAGUCACAACACUGCUCCCACCCAUCCAACUCAGCAGUUCAAGGGCUGUGAGCCCAGGGCCAAGCUAGCACACCCCCUAGAGGGGCUGAGUCCUUGGCCAUGAAGGGAGGGCUGGCUUGAAGCUGCAUCUGGGCUCCGCCUACCUUCACCCCUUUCUUUGGUUCUCUAGGAGGAAAGUAUCAAAUAACAAAGCUUGUCACUCAGAGAACCAGAAAGGACUCCAUUUGUGUUUCAACCUCCUUGGAGGGUCAAGGAAGCCUGCAAGAGUCUUGAGGAGAGUUUGAUGGGGCUGAACUUACAGAUAAGCACAAUGAGAGUUACAGAGGCACAAGUUGUCCACAGAGGCCAGCAGGGGCUGUGUACCUCAUGUGGCCCUGUGAGCUGGGAUUUGGAAUUUAGACUCUGUCCUAAGAGCAGUGAGGAGCCAUGGAAACUAUAAUAGGCAAGAUUGACAGGGAAUUGCACUUGAAAAACCUCCUUUAGCUGUUAUGUAGAGAAAGGAUUGAGGGAGGGGCCAGGCAGGAGACAGGGAGACAAGGCAGAGGCCCUUACACUGUUCAGCAUGAGACAGUGGCGUCUGGACUGGGGAGAGUGGGCUAGUUUGGAAUUAGUUAGGGAUGAACGCAGUCAUGCUUGCUAACUGGUUUUACUGCGUCUACCUUUGCCCCUUAGGGCCUAUUCUCCAUACAGCAGACAAUGUGAUCCUAGUUAAAACAUAAUUCCAGGUCAUGCCGCUCCUCUGGCUUUUCAUCUCAGAGUAAAAGUCAAAGUCCUUACCAUGGCUGUAGGAGAACAGCCUGUUGCGUGGCAAGAAUGAUGCUUUUUUUUUUUUUUAACAGGGUCUCACUCUGUUGCCUAGGCUCGAGUGCAGUGGCAAGAUCAUAGCUCACUGCAGCCUCGAACUCCUGGGCUCAAGGGGUCCUCCCACCUCAGCCUUCUGAGUAGUUUGGACUAUAGGUGCAUGCCGCCACAGCUGGCUAUUUUUUUUUUCAUUUUUAUUUUUUCUAGAGAGGGGGUCUCGCUAUGUUGCCCAGGUUAGUCUCAAACUCCUGGCCUUGAAAGAUCCUCCCGCCUUGGCCUCCCAAAGUGCUGGGAUUACAGGUGUGGGCCACUGUUCCAGGCCACUUGAUCCAAAACCACCGUAAUGACCAAUGUUUGACCCCUAGAUGCCAAGAUAUUCAUCAGCAAGAUCUUUAAACAAUGCCUGUAGAAUAGAAAACUCUUCAUAAAGAUGCUUAUUUAACCUCUCCAGUGGUCACGAGUCUUGGCAAGAAAGUCUGAAGACGGGACCAGCUGCACAUGUUUUACCCUAAGAGCUUGCUAUAUAAAGGAUACUUUCUGGAAGGCUGGUUGGUGUGAGGAUUCAGUCUUGCAGCCACUCGAGACAUCACUUCUGUUCGUAAGUCCCUCUUAUAUAUUUCUCUCUGAGAAAAUGGAUUUGUCAACCUCUUUCUUUGGCUUCUCAGCUCUCUCGGCCUUUGGGUUUGCAUAGUCCUGCUAUCCAUGGAACAAUGGCUCACAAGGGCCAACACAGCCUUGUCUCCCUCACAUCUCUCUGACGACCUCAUCUACUACUUCCAGCCACCUCACUUAUACUACUUCAGUCACUGCUUGCCUAGGGCCUUAGGAUUUCCUGUGCCCUCUGCCUGGAAUGUAAUCCCCCCAGAUACCUGCACAGAUGAUAUCUUACCACCUCAGUUCUCUGCCCAAAUGUUACCUUAUCUGUGAGGCCUUUCCAGAUUCCAUAUAUGAAGAGAAUCCCUUAUGCUCUACUGUAAUGCCUUCUUUAUUUCCUUGAUAGCACUGCUUAUAGCCUGUAGUUAUUUUACAUGUUCGUUCAAAAUGUUUUCCUAGGGUGCAACACAAUGCCUGGCAUAUAGAAGGUUCUUAAUAGGUAUUUUUGUUUUUUGAGACAGAGUCUUGCUCUGUCAC
rnacentral:lncRNA from 1 species